UUAGAACACCGGUUUCCGUACGAUCACCAAAGUUAAGCAACGUCAAUCCUGGUCACUACUUAGAUGGGUGACCGCUUGGGCAUACCAAGUGCUGGA